rnacentral:sRNA from 1 species
UGUCCGGUAGGUAAGGCUACCACAGAGGAUAUGGGUUGCUGCCGCAGAGUGAUGGAGACAUCAUGAGAGGGUUUGAGCAGGUGAUAUCGAACGCAAGGUAUCAUCUAAUGCAACUGCACCGCCCUGUGAUGCUAAAGCUUGAACGGUG